CUUUCCAUUGUUCCCAAGGUCCAGGCUUCCGGGUCGAGCGGGCAGGAGUGAGGCUGUCUUCAGACAGGAGGCCUCACCCCAGACUGUGGUAUCUGGCUGGAGCUGCAGGCCGACAGCUGUGUAGGCAUUAUAAAUCUCCCUCCUGGAGAUGAGGCGCUGGGGCUCCCGACGUGUCCUGCUAAUGGUAAAGCUGUCAGCGCCCACCGCACAAGCUCUGGACUCUGAAAGCAUCAAGUUUGCUGUUGUCCGCUGAAUCCAUCCACGCGAAUGAAUGUCAACAGGGAACGCGGAAGAAGCGGCUACCACACGACAGACGCAGGUCUAUGUUCCUUGUUGGCAUUCUCUCCAUUUGACAGAUGAGACAGCUGAGGCACAGCAGACUGCACCAUUUGCCCAAGAUCGCAGACAGGGAAAGUCCUAGGAAAGCCAGCGUGCAGGAUGAAUCACCACCCCCUUACCGGAACGGAUUCAUCACCUUGGAAGAACCAGAUGGAAAGAGUGGCUCCGGGCUACACCAAUCCUUUUUUUCAAAAGAUUUUUAUUUAAUUAUUUAUUUAUUCAUGAGAGACACAGAGAGAGAGGCAGAGACACAGGCAGAGGGAAAAGCAGGCUUCCUGCAGGGAGCCCGAUGUGGGACUCGAUCCCAGGGCCCCAAGAUCACACCCUGAGCCAAAGGUAGAUGCUCAACCGCUGAGCCACCCAGGCGUCCCCAGGCUGUGCCAAUCCUAAAGGGUCUUGCUGAUGA